rnacentral:rRNA from 1 species
UUAGAGUUUGAUCCUGGCUCAGGAUGAACGCUGGCGGCGUGCCUAACACAUGCAAGUCGAGCGAAGCAUACAGAAUGAAGUUUUCGGAUGGAUUUCUGUAUGACUGAGCGGCGGACGGGUGAGUAACGCGUGGGUAACCUGCCUUAUACAGGGGGAUAACAGUUAGAAAUGACUGCUAAUACCGCAUAAGCGCACAGUACCGCAUGGUAGUGUGUGAAAAACUCCGGUGGUAUAAGAUGGACCCGCGUCUGAUUAGCCAGUUGGCGGGGUAACGGCCCACCAAAGCGACGAUCAGUAGCCGACCUGAGAGGGUGACCGGCCACAUUGGGACUGAGACACGGCCCAAACUCCUACGGGAGGCAGCAGUAGGGAAUCUUCCACAAUGGGCGAAAGCCUGAUGGAGCAACGCCGCGUGAGUGAAGAAGGUUUUCGGAUCGUAAAGCUCUGUUGUUGGUGAAGAAGGAUAGAGGUAGUAACUGGCCCCUAUUUGACGGUAAUCAACCAGAGAGUCACGGCUAACUACGUGCCAGCAGCCGCGGUAAUACGUAGGGGGCAAGCGUUAUCCGGAUUUACUGGGUGUAAAGGGAGCGUAGACGGCGCGGCAAGUCUGAAGUGAAAGGCAGGGGCUUAACCCUUGAACUGCUUUGGAAACUGCCAUGCUAGAGUGCUGGAGAGGUAAGUGGAAUUCCUAGUGUAGCGGUGAAAUGCGUAGAUAUUAGGAGGAACACCAGUGGCGAAGGCGGCUUACUGGACAGUAACUGACGUUGAUGCUCGAAAGCGUGGGGAGCAAACAGGAUUAGAUACCCUGGUAGUCCACGCCGUAAACGAUGAAUACUAGGUGUUGGGGGCAAGGCCCCUCGGUCCCGCCGCAAACGCAAUAAAGUAUUCCCCCCGGGGAGGUCGUUCGCAUGAAUGAAACUCAAAGUAAUUGUCGGGGUCCCGCACAUGCGGUGGAGCAUGUGGUUUUAAUUUGAAGCAACGCGAAGACCCUUACCAAGUCUUGACAUCCGGACGCCGUAUGGGCGAAGCCAUAUUUCCUUCGGGACGUCCGAGACAGGUGGUGCAUGGUUGUCGUCAGCUCGUGUCGUGAGUCGUUGGGUUAAGUCCCGCAUCGAGCGCAACCCCUGUUUCCAGUAGCCAGCAUUUAAAGAUGGGCACUCUGGCGUGACUGCCCGGGAUAACCGGGAGGAAGGCGGGGAUGACGUCAAUUCAUCAUGCCCCUUAUGAUCAGGGCUACACACGUGCUACAAUGGCGUAAACAAAGGGAAGCGAGACGGUGACGUUGAGCAAAUCCCAGAAAUAACGUCCCAGUCCGGAAAAAAGGCUGCACCCCGCCU